GUAGUAUUCCCUCCGUCCCAAAAUUCUUGUCUUACGUUUCUUUAGAUACGGAUGUAUCUAACACUAAAAUGUAACUAGAUACAUCCGUAUUUAGACGACAAGAAUUUUGGGACGGAGGGAGUACAAA
rfam:Triticum aestivum genome assembly, contig: Triticum_aestivum_CS42_TGACv1_scaffold_049360_1BS